CCUACGGGAGGCUGCAGUCGAGAAUUUUUCACAAUGGGCGAAAGCCUGAUGGAGCGACGCCGCGUGGGGGAUGAAUGGCUUCGGCCCGUAAACCCCUGUCAUUUGCGAGCAAUGCCCUCUCGUUAAUACCGGGAUGGUUGAUCGUAGCGAAAGAGGAAGGGACGGCUAACUCUGUGCCAGCAGCCGCGGUAAUACAGAGGUCCCAAGCGCUGUUCGGAUUCACUGGGGGUAAAGGGAGCGUAGUGUGCAAGUUCCGGGCUCAAGCCGGAAAUGGCAUUGAAUACUAUCUGGCUAGAGGGUUGGAGGGGGGACUGGAAUUCUCGGUGUAGCAGUGAAAUGCGUAGAUAUCGAGAGGAACACGGGUGGCGAAGGCGAGUCCCUGGACAAUCCCUGACACUGAGGCACGAAAGCUAGGGGAGCAAACAGGAUUAGAUACCCCAGUAGUC
rnacentral:rRNA from 1 species